rnacentral:rRNA from 1 species
UACGGGGGGGUGCGAGCGUUGUCCGGAAUCACUGGGCGUAAAGGGCGCGUAGGUGGUUUGAUAAGGGUGUGGUGAAAGUCCGGAGCUCAACUCCGGAUCUGCCGUGCCGACUGUCAAACUCGAGGGCUGUAGAGGCAGACGGAAUUCCGGGUGUAGCGGUGGAAUGCGUAGAGAUCCGGAGGAAGACCGGUGGCGAAGGCGGUCUGCUGGGCAGUUUCUGACACUGAGGCGCGACAGCGUGGGGAG